rnacentral:rRNA from 1 species
UACGUAGGUGGCAAGCGUUGUCCGGAAUUAUUGGGCGUAAAGCGCGCGCAGGCGGUCUCUUAAGUCUGAUGUGAAAGCCCACGGCUCAACCGUGGAGGGUCAUUGGAAACUGGGAGACUUGAGUGCAGAAGAGGAGAGCGGAAUUCCACGUGUAGCGGUGAAAUGCGUAGAGAUGUGGAGGAACACCAGUGGCGAAGGCGGCUCUCUGGUCUGUAACUGACGCUGAGGCGCGAAAGCGUGGGGAGCGAACAGGAUUAGAUACCCUGGUAGUCCACGCAGUAAACGAUGAGUGCUAAGUGUUAGAGGGCUUCCACCCUUUAGUGCUGCAGCUAACGCAUUAAGCACUCCGCCUGGGGAGUACGGCCGCAAGGCUGAA